rnacentral:rRNA from 1 species
AUGAACGCUGGCGGCGUGCCUAAUACAUGCAAGUCGAGCGAACAGACGAGGAGCUUGCUCCUCUGACGUUAGCGGCGGACGGGUGAGUAACACGUGGAUAACCUACCUAUAAGACUGGGAUAACUUCGGGAAACCGGAGCUAAUACCGGAUAAUAUAUUGAACCGCAUGGUUCAAUAGUGAAAGACGGUUUUGCUGUCACUUAUAGAUGGAUCCGCGCCGCAUUAGCUAGUUGGUAAGGUAACGGCUUACCAAGGCAACGAUGCGUAGCCGACCUGAGAGGGUGAUCGGCCACACUGGAACUGAGACACGGUCCAGACUCCUACGGGAGGCAGCAGUAGGGAAUCUUCCGCAAUGGGCGAAAGCCUGACGGAGCAACGCCGCGUGAGUGAUGAAGGUCUUCGGAUCGUAAAACUCUGUUAUUAGGGAAGAACAAAUGUUUAAGUAACUAUGCACGUCUUGACGGUACCUAAUCAGAAAGCCACGGCUAACUACGUG